CAAUAGCGUAUAUUAAAGUUGUUGCGGUUAAAAAGUUCGUAGUUGGAUUUCUGCCAAGGACGACCGGUCCGCCCUCUGGGUGAGUAUCUGGCUUGGCCUGGGCAUCUUCUUGGAGAACGUUGCUGCACUUCGCUGUGUGGCGCGGUAUCCAGGACCUUUACUUUGAGGAAAUUAGAGUGUUUCAAGCAGGCUUUCGCCUUGAAUACAUUAGCAUGGAAUAUUAAGAUAGGACCUCGGUUCUAUUUUGUUGGUUUCUAGAGCUGGGGUAAUGAUUAAUAGGGAUAGUUGGGGGCAUUCGUAUUUAACUGUCAGAGGUGAAAUUCUUGGAUUUGUUAAAGACGGACUACUGCGAANGNAUUUGCNAAGGAUGUUUNCAUUG
rnacentral:rRNA from 1 species